rnacentral:lncRNA from 1 species
UGCAGAAAUGACUGCUUCAAUGCGGCGUGGAAUGGAGGCAAUCAGCCUGUGGCACUGCUGAGGUGUUAUGGAGGCCUUUCUGUGUCUUACCCUCUCGCUUGAGGGUGUCAAUGAUGGCCUUCUGGACAGCAGUCAGGUCGGCAGUCUUACCCAUGAUUGCGGUUUUGAGUAAUGAACCAGGCUGGGAGUUUUUAAAAGCCUCAGGAAUCUUUUGCAGGUGUUUAGAGUUAAUUAGUUGAUUCAGAUGAUUAGGUUAAUAGCUUGUUUAGAGAACCUUUUCAUGAUAUGCUAAUUUUUUGAGAUAGGAAUUUUGGGUUUUCAUGAGCUGUAUGCCAAAAUCAUCAGUAUUAAAACAAUAAAAGACCUGAAAUAUUUCAGUUGGUGUGCAAUGAAUCUAAAAUAUAUGAAAGUUUAAUUUUUAUCAUUACAUUAUGGUAAAUAAUGAACUUUUUCACAAUAUGCUAAUUUUUUUUAGAAGGACCUGUAUAUGCUGAACGUGUACAGCCAGUCUUUCAGAAGCCUUUGAAAUAGGAAGUGACCAAAUUAUCACAAGCAUCACGCUCAGCCAUAUGUACGGGGGAAGGAAGCUCUCGGAUAUGUAGCACAUAAGUCUUCUUCUGAUGAACUCAGGCACAGUUUGAGGACAGAACAGUAAACGCUGAACUUUGAUGCUGAGAUGGUUUUCUGGAGCUGUUUAUUGUCACUCUUUCUCUGGCUCAGAGUGCCAUCUGCUAAUGCUGUGGGAUGGAACAUUGAAGUGCCAGAAUCAGUGGUGGGUUUGUCUGGAUCAUGUGUGCUGAUUCCCUGUAGGUUCAGCUACCCUGAAAAUGGAAAAACAUACACAGAAUUUAAAGGGAUUUGGUUCAAAGGAAAUGAAGAAUCAACAGUAUACCAUACAGACGCCUCAAAUAUCAUCGACUCAUUCAAAGGUCGCACUAGUCUCAAAUCAACAGUAUACCAUACAGACGCCUCAAAAUAUCAUCGACUCAUUCAAAGGUCGCACUAGUCUCAAUGGUGAUUUGGGCAAAAAUGACUGUUCUUUGAAAAUCAGCUCACUGAGCAGCAGCGAUGCUGGGUCAUUCAUUUUUCGGACUGAGAUUAAAGAUCUGGCCAAGUACACAUAUAAAAAUAAAGAAAAAAAGAAAUAGUUUCUUUAACAGUGAAAGGUAAGGGGAUGGGUCCUCUCUGUAUUAAAAUGACCAGAACACAACAUGAUGAUUAAAGUUAAUAUGUCAUCAAUAUGAUUUGUUGUGUA